rnacentral:lncRNA from 1 species
UUUUUGGUUGCUUGUCUUCUUCAGCAAUACAAUAACAAAACGAACAUAGAAACAAUAAUGUUUUGUUUUAUAGUGAACCACAACACUUCAAUAACAAGAUCCGGUUGUUCUAUAUGACAAAACUUCACUUUCUUGUUUUGUAUAAGACGUUGAACAUAUGGAUUUCUUCCCUUUUUCCUGCAGCUUUUUCGAACUCGAAAAUAUAACAAGUACUGACUUGUAAUAAUAGUGAACUCCAUCGAUGUUUAAAGUUCGACUCGUUGCUGCCGGCUCUUAUUCAAAACUUCACAUUGUGUGGAACGGAGGUUAAUGCCUCCAUGGCAUUGCCGCCAACCAUGGAUAUGGGAACUUGCACCUGGCUAUGGAUGUUCGCUUGAACUUUUCGUGGAAGCGGGAGAGUAAAAUGUGGGUCAUCUAUCAGAUUUGCCCAUGGUUCAUACGGAAACAGAUUGCCCACCUUCAAAGUGACAGUCUAGCAAUUCAUCAUCUCACUGUAAAGGUGUCAUGAAAGUUGUAGGUUGCUGGUGACCAAGUGAUGGAAUACUUUCAUCUGAAAAAGGGUCAAAAUGAGCAUAGCAAAGUCACUAAAAUUGCAAAAAGUCAAUGAGGAAACAAAGGAUAAAGAAUAAGAGGGGAACAAGUAGCAACAGCUACACACCUUGGUAAUAAUAGUGAACUCCAUCAUUUUGUAACAAACCUAUCAAUCACUUACAAUAGAAUUAGAAAAGCACUAACUUGUAAAACAAUUGUGAACUCCAUCAAUUUUCCGUCCACUCCACUAACUUGCUAUCGAGUGAAGAGAGAAAUUGUUAAAUAAUUGAACCACACAUCGCCAAACAAACAAAUUGGAGAGUAUAUCAAAUAGAAAAGAAACUGCACCACAAUCCUAAAUCAGUGUUACCGCGUCACUGAACAGCAGGGCCGCGCGUGGCGAACAACUUUGCAUGCCCAGCGUCAACGCACUGCAAGUUGGCCCCGGUGGUAGCAGCAGGAGAAGCAUACAGAGGAACGAGGUAGAGGAGUUCUGGCAUGGCAACUGAACUCCAACGUGCGAGGGAAUCGCAUGCCGUCAUCCUCUCACGGUGCGUGCAAACUGCGUCAACGACCCAACGAACCUCCAAUGAGAUUAACAUGCAGUGCUCGCCGGGAGUGGAGAAAAACACUCAGAGGAGCAGCAGAGAGCAAACUGCAUGUGGCAUGCCUCCGAGAUACACAGAAAAGGAGGGGACGGAGGUCAGCAGGAUGUGCCGCUCGUGUAGGAUUGGGAGGGGAGGGCGGCAGGGUGCCAACGCGGUUCCACCGCGGCAGCCGCGCAUCGGAGUUGGAGUACUGCGUGAGUACCGUCGAUAGAUCCGGCCGCCUAGGGAGUCGAGGUUGGGCUUGCCGGGGAGGGCGAUGUGGUGACGCGGUGGCGAAGGCAGCAACCGACGUGCUGGUUGCCCGUGGUGGUGGUGCGGUGAUGACGACGCUGAUGCGACGGCUAACCGUCCACGAGGUGGGCCGUGCAUGUGGGGUGUUUGUGGUGGGGCCACCAUGGCCAUCAUUCGAGAAGAGGAAGAGGACCAAUGGAAGGUGUGGCCAUCGCGGAUCUUGCAUCGAGAAGUGAAAGAGUAGUUGAUGGUGGGCGCUUCGGUGAUCUGGGAAGCGGUUUGUUGAUGCCAUCUCCGUUAUUUUCCCCGAAGUACGAGGCAGUGGUAGCCGGCUCGAUUGGGAGGAGCUCGGGGCCCGGAUCCUAUAGGCGCUCAGGUUUGAGAGUGGGGCGGUGGCUCGAUGGCCAGGGAGCUGGGCAUGGAGCCGACAACAACCAGUGUGAUGUGGAUAUGGCUUCCUCGACCAUGGUACACGUCCCGCGGGAGAGGCGAGGUGGGUGGUGGGGUGGGCGAUGGGGAGGCGUCACUUGUUGGCGGCCGUGACGUCGGCCGCGUACGAAAAUGCACGGGAGGGGGGAUGUUUCCCGGCGGAGGUGAGUUCCCUGUGGUGGAUGGGUUGGGGGAGGGGAGGGGGUUGGGGAUGGGUUGGGGUACUAUGGUGGAUGGGAUGUGAGGAAUAAGGUGGAAGGGGAUCUGUGGGUGACGCAAGGAAUAAGGUGGGGAAGGAUUGGGGUGUGACGCUGGGAAGAAGCCGAGCUGGGUCGGGGUUGAGUGUUAGCAGAAUAAGCGUGGGGGUGUGCAGAAUAAGGGUCUUAGGUGGUUUUUGUAGAAUAGACCCACCCUAUAUAUACAACCUGUCUAUUCUUCUAAUAUUAGAAGAAUAAUUAUUCUGCACACAUUUCCCAACUGCAUGCUCAACCUUAGUGCACUUCAUCCCUAUCACACAAAACACUUCAAUGUCACCAGAAAAAACUGUACGCACUUUUUCAACACCGAUUUGGCUCCAAUUUUUAAACCGUUUGUCGGAAUGAGGCAUAUAAUAUACCACUGGAUUGAUAUGAAAAAUCCCCAACUCCAUCAUGCUGAACAUUUUUCGCGAUUCCUCGCGGUUUGAGAGAAGUUUCGAAAAUGGUGGGCGCAUGACGGGCUGCAACAAGCGUAUUUUUGCAAUUUUUUCUAAACCACUCGUCGAAACGAAAAAAACGAUAUGGAGUUGGAAAUAUAUCGUCGAGUCGCAUCUAUACCUAAUAAUAAAGUGUCUAUUGCUUCCGUCGGAAAACCCACCGUGGUAUUUUUAUAAAAAAUCCCCUUAAUUUUUGUUAUUCAACCCGCGCUCCAUCAUUUAUCUGCAACGCAAAAGAAAAAAAAAUGAUUCGCUGCAAAAAUUAUACCCGUACGCAUUGCCUCCUCCCGUCGACCCUGGGCCACCCUGGCCUGUGACCAGGCCGUCGCCACACCACUCGCCGCCGCGGCCGACCUCAACCGCCACCCCUGUCGAUCUCAACCCACCCGCCUCCGCGGCCGUACCUCUCCCCGCUCACUGCCCCCGUUGCGGCGCUCGAGAGCAUCGCGUCGACCCUAGUCCACCCUGUCCUGUGCCCAGGCCGCUGCCACACCACUCGCCGCCGCGGCCGACCUCAACCACCACUGUUGUCGAUCUCAAACCACCCGCCUCCACGGCUGUACCUCUACCCGCUUGCUGCCCCCGUUUCGGCGCUCGAGCACAGCUUCUGGAUCAAAUCAACGCGACAGCUACAGUGACUUGGGAUGAUGCGUCUGCUCGAUGCAGAACGGCGGCAACGCGGCGGAGCGAAGUACUUACAGGUGGAGGCGGGCCUCCAUGGCUCACACGGGGAACUCCGAGGUUAUGGCGCGGCAACGGCGACUCCUUAUGGCCAGAUAGAGGCGCCUAACCCUUGCUCCUCUCAUCGUAUCCCCUCCUCCGGCAGGAACUCAUCAUCUGGUGAGAUCCCCUCCCCAUGCCUCUAACCGUGUGCCAAGCACCGGCAAGAAAUUUUGUUUUGUGGGGAUUUAUUUGCUGAUGAAUGAAUGUAUUGAAUGUAAGAUUGUAUUGUUGUAGAGACAGAGAAUGGAACACCACCUUCAGUUUGUCAUCUGAUCCCAUAUUCUCUACCCCAUGAGUGAAAUAAAAUAACAGUACAUUGAUCAAUUCACGUAGCCUCUAUGUUUUGCUUUGCUUGUCCCGCUCAAUUUCUCAUCAUGGUGGAAUUAACAAUGGACGGGUUGAUUUCUCAACAAAAUAGGAUAUGACUGACUACAUUAGUUAGUUAGCUUAUUAUUUUAAUAAAUCAAAAUGAUUAUAAAAAAAUUAAAAGCGUGUGGUAUUUUUUUCUCCCGUUGCAACGCACGGGCCCUUUUGCUAGUAAUUUUUAUGUAGAUUACUAUCUCCAAUUCCUUAUGGUUUGAGAGUAGUUUCAAUUUUACUAAAAACGAAAUCCUGUUUUUUGAUUAUUUAGUCUGUUUUUGCUGCAGUUUUUAAACCGUUCCUCGGAACGAGGCGUAUGACACGGCUUUGAAAAGCUGUAGAAUAGAAGAAACUUUCAUAUGUUAGCCAUUUAUUGAGAUUCCUCGCAGUUUUAAACGAAUUUUGAAAACGGUGCCGCUGACUCGAGUUGCAGCAAGCGUAUUUUCUUCACUUUUUCCAAACCGCUUAUUGGAACGAUGCAAGUGAUAUGGAGUUGUGAAGAUACCGACGAGGAGCAUAUUUUUAAUGUACAACUCUCUUUCUAAUUCCUUACGGUUUAAGAGCAGUUAUGAAAUUAUCGAAAUGCGGACACUCUGUUUUUUCAAGGACCCAAAUCAACACGUGACCCGCAUCACAUAGAAGAGUGCACCGCCUUUUGACGAGAAACCGCACUGCAUCCGAUGGACAAGUGAACUUCUUGGUUUUAUUUUUGUCAAACAUAAAAUUUUCUAGACGAGGGAGUGGACCGCAGUCCACGUUGGGCGUAAGUGAACCUCAACAGUAUCGAAAAGUGAGCUGCAAUUAUUUGUCAUUUCCAUAACAAUUUAUUUCGCGAGAUGAACAACACUAGACGGCUAACCGCACUCCUUUAGAUAAAAAACCACACUGCAUAAAAUGGCCAAGAGAGCUGCAUGAUUUUUUAAGAUUUUUUGAGUCAAGUGCAUUUAAGUUUUUGUUUUUUAUUGGUUGUAUUCUUGAGCAAUAUAAUAAAAAAAUGAACACAGAAACAAUAACGUUUUGUUUUGCAAUGAACCACAUUACUUCUAUAACAAGAUCCGGUUGUUCUAUAUAACAAAACUUCACUUUGUUGUUCUGUAUAAGACAUUGAACAUAUGGAUUUCUUCCCUUUUCCUGUAGCUUUUCCGAACUAAAAAAUAUAACAAGUACCGACUUGUAAUAAUAGUGAACUCCAUUGAUGCUUAAAGCUUAACUCGUUGCUGUUGGCUCUUAUUCAAAACUUCACGUUGUAUUGAACGGAGGUUGAUGCCUCCAUGGCAUUGCUACCAACCAUGGAUAUGGGAACUUGCACCUCGCUAUGGAUGUCCUCUUGAACUGAUCCUGUAAGAGGGAGAGUAAAAUGUGAGUCAUCUAUCAGGUUUUCCCAUGGUUCAUGUAGAAACAGAUUGCUCACCUUCGAAGGGCUAGUCUAGUGAUUCAUCAUCACACUGUAAAGGUGUCAUGAAAGUUGUAGGUUGCUG